rnacentral:rRNA from 1 species
GAUGAACGCUGGCGGCGUGCCUAAUACAUGCAAGUCGAGCGAACGGACGAGAAGCUUGCUUCUCUGAUGUUAGCGGCGGACGGGUGAGUAACACGUGGAUAACCUACCUAUAAGACUGGGAUAACUUCGGGAAACCGGAGCUAAUACCGGAUAAUAUUUUGAACGGCAUGGUUCAAAAGUAAAAGACGGUCUUGCUGUCACUUAUAGAUGGAUCCGCGCUGCAUUAGCUAGUUGGUAAGGUAACGGCUUACCAAGGCAACGAUGCAUAGCCGACCUGAGAGGGUGAUCGGCCACACUGGAACUGAGACACGGUCCAGACUACUACGGGAGGCAGCAGUAGGGAAUCUUCCGCAAUGGGCGAAAGCCUGACGGAGCAACGCCGCGUGAGUGAUGAAGGUCUUCGGAUCGUAAAACUCUGUUAUUAGGGAAGAACAUAUGUGUAAGUAACUGUGCACAUCUUGACGGUACCUAAUCAGAAAGCCACGGCUAACUACGUG